rnacentral:rRNA from 1 species
GAUGAACGCUGGCGGCGUGCCUAACACAUGCAAGUCGAGCGGACGGAGGAGGCUCUCGCCUCUCUGAUGUGAGCGGCGGACGGGUGAUGAAUAGGAGGCUAACCGACAGAUAGGACUGGCAUAACUUAAGGAAAGCGUAUCUAACAUACGAUAAGAGUGUGAACGGCAUGGUUCAUAAGAGAAAGAGGGUUUUGCUGACACUAAUAGAUGGAACCACGUUGCAUUAGCUAGUUGGUACGGUAACGGCUUACCAAGGCUACGAUGCAUAGCUGAUCUGAGAGGGUGAUCAGCCACACUGGAACUGAGACACGGUCCAGACUCCUACGGGAGGCAGCAGUAGGGAAUCUUCCACAAUGGGCGAAAGCCUGACGGAGCAAUGCCGCGUGUGUGAUGAAGGUCUUCGGAUCGUAAAGCUCUGUUAUUAGGGAAGAAGAGAUGUGUAAGUAACUGUGCAUGUCUUGACGGUACCUAAAGAGAAAGCCCCGGCUAACUACGUG